rnacentral:rRNA from 1 species
AACGAACGCUGGCGGCAGGCCUAACACAUGCAAGUCGAGCGAGGACUUCGGUCCUAGCGGCGGACGGGUGAGUAACGCGUGGGAACGUGCCCUUUGCUUCGGAAUAGCCCUGGGAAACUGGGAGUAAUACCGGAUGAGCCCUUUGGGGGAAAGAUUUAUCGGCGAAGGAUCGGCCCGCGUUGGAUUAGGUAGUUGGUGGGGUAAUGGCCUACCAAGCCGACGAUCCAUAGCUGGUUUGAGAGGAUGAUCAGCCACACUGGGACUGAGACACGGCCCAGACUCCUACGGGAGGCAACAGUGGGGAAUCUUAGACAAUGGGGGAAACCCUGAUCUAGCCAUGCCGCGUGAGCGAUGAAGGCCUUAGGGUUGUAAAGCUCUUUCAGCUGGGAAGAUAAUGACGGUACCAGCAGAAGAAGCCCCGGCUAACUCCGU